rnacentral:rRNA from 1 species
GACGAACGCUGGCGGCGUGCUUAACACAUGCAAGUCGAACGGAAAAGCCCUGCUUUUGUGGGGUGCUCGAGUGGCGAACGGGUGAGUAACACGUGAGUAACCUGCCCUUGACUUUGGGAUAACUUCAGGAAACUGGGGCUAAUACAGGAUAGGAGCUCCUGCUGGAUGGUGGGGUUUGGAAAGUUUAGGCGGUUGGGGCUGGACUCCCGGCUUAUUAGCUUGUUGGUGGGGUAGUGGCUUACCGAGGCUUCGACGGAUAGCCGGCCUGAGAGGUUGACCGGCGACAUUGGGCCUGAGAUACGGCGCAGACUCGUACGGGAGGCAGUAGGGGAAAGUAUGGCACAAUGGGGGGGAGUCUGAGGCAGCAGCGCCGCGUGCGUGAUGACGUCCAUCUGGUUGUAAACCGCUUUAGCCUGUGACGUAGCGGGAGUGACGGUAAUGGGUAAAGAAGCACCGGCUAACUACGUG